UACAGAGGUCCCGAGCGUUGUUCGGAUUCAUUGGGCGUAAAGGGUGCGUAGGUGGCGCCGUAAGUGGGGUGUGAAAUCCCGGGGCUUAACCCCGGGACUGCAUUCGAUACUGCCGUGCUUGAGGACUGGAGAGGAGACUGGAAUUUACGGUGUAGCGGUGAAAUGCGUAGAUAUCGUAAGGAAGACCAGUGGCGAAGGCGGGUCUCUGGACAGUUCCUGACGCUGAGGCACGAAGGUCAGGGGAGCAAACGGG
rnacentral:rRNA from 1 species